UACAGAGGUCUCAAGCGUUGUCCGGAAUUAUUGGGCGUAAAGAGCUCGUAGGCGGCUUGUCACGUCGAUUGUGAAAGCCCGAGGCUUAACCUCGGGUCUGCAGUCGAUACGGGCUAGCUAGAGUGUGGUAGGGGAGAUCGGAAUUCCUGGUGUAGCGGUGAAAUGCGCAGAUAUCAGGAGGAACACCGGUGGCGAAGGCGGAUCUCUGGGCCAUUACUGACGCUGAGGAGCGAAAGCGUGGGGAGCGAACAGG
rnacentral:rRNA from 1 species